GAAUUGUUCGCAAUGGGCGCAAGCCUGACGACGCAACGCCGCGUGGAGGACGAAGAUCUUCGGGUCGUAAACUCCUUUCGAUCGGGAAGAAUGGCUCCGGGGUUAACAGCCCUGGAGAGUGACGGUACCGAGAGAAGCAGCCCCGGCUAACUCUGCGCCAGCAGCCGCGGUAAUACAGGGGGGGCAAGCGUGGUUCGGGAUUACUGGGCGUAAAGGGCUCGUAGGCGGGCAACUAAGUCCGACGUGAAAUCCCAAAGCUUAACUUUGGAACUGCGUCGGAUACUGGAUGGCUUGAAUUCGGGAGAGGGAUGCAGAAUUCCAGGUGUAGCGGUGAAAUGCGUAGAUAUCUGGAGGAAUACCGGUGGCGAAGGCGGCAUCCUGGACCGACAUUGACGCUGAGGAGCGAAAGCUAGGGGAGCAAACGGG
rnacentral:rRNA from 1 species